rnacentral:rRNA from 1 species
AGAGUGUCGUAGAGGGUAGUGGAUUUCCCGGUGGCGCAGUGACAUGGGUAGCGAUCCGGGAGGAACAUCCAUGGUGAAGGCACCUCCCUGGAUCAACACUCACAUUGAGGCACGAAAUCGUGGCGGAGCAAACAGGAUUAGAUCCCCUUGUAGUCCACGCCUUGAACGAUGCGUUCUGGAUGUUGGGUGCAAUUUGUCACGCAGUAUCGAAGCUAACGCGUUAAGUUCGCCGCCUGGGGAGUACGGUCGCAAGACUGAAACUCAAAGGAAUUGACGGGGGCCCGCACAAGCGGUGGAGUAUGUGGUUUAAUUCGAUGCAACGCGAAGAACCUUACCUGGUCUUGACAUGUCGAGAACUUUCCAGAGAUGGAUUGGUGCCUUCGGGAACUCGAACCCAGGUGCUGCAUGGCCGUCGUCAGCUCGUGUCGUGAGAUGUUGGGUUAAGUCCCGCAACGAGCGCAACCCUUGUCCUUAGUUGCCAGCACGUAAUGGUGGGAACUCUAAGGAGACCGCCGGUGACAAACCGGAGGAAGGUGGGGAUGACGUCAAGUCAUCAUGGUCCUUACGACCAGGGCUACGCACGUACUACAAUGGUAGGGACAGAGGGCUGCAAACCCGCGAGGGCAAGCCAAUCCCAGAAACCCUAUCUCAGUCCGGAUUGGAGUCUGCAACUCGACUCCAUGAAGUCGGAAUCGCUAGUAAUCGCAGAUCAGCAUUGCUGCGGGGAAUACGUUCCCGGGCCUUGUACACACCGCCCGUCACAAACGUUGGGAGUUUGUUGCACCAGAAGCAGGUAGCUUAACCUUCGGGAGGGCGCUGCCACGGGGGGCCCCGAAGUGGGC